UUUUACUCCGUGUUCCCAGGCUGCCUCUUUCCCUUCGGUCGACGUGGACACUGUGCCGGACGCCUCUGGCAGGACUAACCCCGUGGCUUUUAUGUCCAACGUGCUGUGCUGUGUGUGCCUGCAGUAUCCUGUCCAAGACCAAGCUACCUUUCCUCGUGGGAAGGGACCGGCCGGGCUUUGGCAAUCUGGCCCCUCGAAAGACUAAAGUGACCUCUUCCAACAGGGGAAGACUGAAGCAAGCGGUGCCAGAAAGAACUGGAGUUUCUGGAGAAUAAAAGCUGGAAGCGUGCCCCCGAAAA